rnacentral:rRNA from 1 species
UUACCAUGCAAGUCGAGCGGGCGUAGCAAUACGUCAGCGGCAGACGGGUGAGUAACGCGUGGGAACGUACCUUUUGGUUCGGAACAACACAGGGAAACUUGUGCUAAUACCGGAUAAGCCCUUACGGGGAAAGAUUUAUCGCCGAAAGAUCGGCCCGCGUCUGAUUAGCUAGUUGGUAGGGUAAUGGCCUACCAAGGCGACGAUCAGUAGCUGGUCUGAGAGGAUGAUCAGCCACAUUGGGACUGAGACACGGCCCAAACUCCUACGGGAGGCAGCAGUGGGGAAUAUUGGACAAUGGGGGCAACCCUGAUCCAGCCAUGCCGCGUGAGUGAUGAAGGCCCUAGGGUUGUAAAGCUCUUUUGUGCGGGAAGAUAAUGACGGUACCGCAAGAAUAAGCCCCGGCUAACUUCGUGCCAGCAGCCGCGGUAAUACGAAGGGGGCUAGCGUUGCUCGGAAUCACUGGGCGUAAAGGGUGCGUAGGCGGGUUUUUAAGUCAGGGGUGAAAUCCUGGAGCUCAACUCCAGAACUGCCUUUGAUACUGAAGAUCUUGAGUCCGGGAGAGGUGAGUGGAACUGCGAGUGUAGAGGUGAAAUUCGUAGAUAUUCGCAAGAACACCAGUGGCGAAGGCGGCUCACUGGCCCGGUACUGACGCUGAGGCACGAAAGCGUGGGGAGCAAACAGGAUUAGAUACCCUGGUAGUCCACGCCGUAACGAUGAAUGCCAGCCGUUAGUGGGUUUACUCACUAGUGGCGCAGCUAACGCUUUAAGCAUUCCGCCUGGGGAGUACGUC